rnacentral:rRNA from 1 species
UACAGAGGGGGCUAGCGUUAUUCGGAAUUAUUGGGCGUAAAGGGCGCGUAGGCGGCCAUGCGUGUCUUCCGUGAAAUCCCUCGGCUUAACUGAGGACGUGCGGAAGAAACUGCAAGGCUCGAGUCCGGGAGAGGGGGGUGGAAUUCCCAGUGUAGCGGUGAAAUGCGUAGAUAUUGGGAGGAACACCCGUAGCGAAGGCGGCGCUCUGGGCCGGUACUGACGCUGAGGAGCGAAAGCGUGGGGAGCAAACAGG